rnacentral:rRNA from 1 species
CCUACGGGGGGCUGCAGUGGGGAAUAUUGGGCAAUGGGCGCAAGCCUGACCCAGCAACGCCGCGUGAAGGAAGAAGGCUUUCGGGUUGUAAACUUCUUUUGUCAGGGACGAAGCAAGUGACGGUACCUGACGAAUAAGCCACGGCUAACUACGUGCCAGCAGCCGCGGUAAUACGUAGGUGGCAAGCGUUAUCCGGAUUUAUUGGGUGUAAAGGGUGUGUAGGCGGGAAUGCAAGUCAGAUGUGAAAACCAUGGGCUCAACCCAUAGCCUGCAUUUGAUACUGUAUUUCUUGAGUGCAGGUGAGGCAAUCGGAAUUCCGUGUGUAGCGGUGAAAUGCGUAGAUAUACGACGGAACACCAGUGGCGAAGGCGGAUUGCUAAACAGUAACUGACGCUGAGGCGCGAAAGCGUGGGGAGCAAACAGGAUUAGAUACCCUUGUAGUC